rnacentral:rRNA from 1 species
UGCCAGCCGCCGCGGUAAUACGGAGGGUGCAAGCGUUGUUCGGAAUUACUGGGCGUAAAGCGCGCGUAGGCGGCUUUUUAAGUCAGAUGUGAAAGUCCACGGCUCAACCGUGGAAGUGCAUUUGAAACUGGGAGGCUUGAGUAUUGGAGGGGGUGGUGGAAUUCCCGGUGUAGAGGUGAAAUUCGUAGAUAUCGGGAGGAAUACCGGUGGCGAAGGCGACCACCUGGCCAAAUACUGACGCUCAUGGCCGACGGCAUGGGUAGCUAACGGGAUUAGAUA